ACUAGCAGUAAGAGUUUGAUCAUGGCUCAGAACGAACGCUGGCGGCAUGCCUAACACAUGCAAGUCGAACGAGACCUUCGGGUCUAGUGGCGCACGGGUGCGUAACGCGUGGGAACCUGCCCUUAGGUUCGGAAUAACUCCCCGAAAGGGGUGCUAAUACCGGAUAAUGUCUUCGGACCAAAGAUUUAUCGCCUUUGGAUGGGCCCGCGUUGGAUUAGCUAGUUGGUGAGGUAAAGGCCUACCAAGGCGACGAUCCAUAGCUGGUCUUAGAGGAUGAUCAGCCACACUGGGACUGAGACACGGCCCAGACUCCUACGGGAGGCAGCAGUGGGGAAUAUUGGACAAUGGGCGAAAGCCUGAUCCAGCAAUGCCGCGUGAGUGAUGAAGGCCUUAGGGUUGUAAAGCUCUUUUACCCGGGAUGAUAAUGACAGUACCGGGAGAAUAAGCUCCGGCUAACUCCGUGCCAGCAGCCGCGGUAAUUC
rnacentral:rRNA from 1 species